UGACUGCGUACCUUUUGUAUAAUGGGUCAGCGACUUAUAUUCUGUAGCAAGGUUAACCGAAUAGGGGAGCCGAAGGGAAACCGAGUCUUAACUGGGCGUUAAGUUGCAGGGUAUAGACCCGAAACCCGGUGAUCUAGCCAUGGGCAGGUUGAAGGUUGGGUAACACUAACUGGAGGACCGAACCGACUAAUGUUGAAAAAUUAGCGGAUGACUUGUGGCUGGGGGUGAAAGGCCAAUCAAACCGGGAGAUAGCUGGUUCUCCCCGAAAGCUAUUUAGGUAGCGCCUCGUGAAUUCAUCUCCGGGGGUAGAGCACUGUUUCGGCAAGGGGGUCAUCCCGACUUACCAACCCGAUGCAAACUGCGAAUACCGGAGAAUGUUAUCACGGGAGACACACGGCGGGUGCUAACGUCCGUCGUGAAGAGGGAAACAACCCAGACCGCCAGCUAAGGUCCCAAAGUCAUGGUUAAGUGGGAAACGAUGUGGGAAGGCCCAGACAGCCAGGAUGUUGGCUUAGAAGCAGCCAUCAUUUAAAGAAAGCGUAAUAGCUCACUGGUCGAGUCGGCCUGCGCGGAAGAUGUAACGGGGCUAAACCAUGCACCGAAGCUGCGGCAGCGACACUAUGUGUUGUUGGGUAGGGGAGCGUUCUGUAAGCCUGUGAAGGUGGCCUGUGAGGGUUGCUGGAGGUAUCAGAAGUGCGAAUGCUGACAUAAGUAACGAUAAAGCGGGUGAAAAGCCCGCUCGCCGGAAGACCAAGGGUUCCUGUCCAACGUUAAUCGGGGCAGGGUGAGUCGACCCCUAAGGCGAGGCCGAAAGGCGUAGUCGAUGGGAAACAGGUUAAUAUUCCUGUACUUGGUGUUACUGCGAAGGGGGGACGGAGAAGGCUAUGUUGGCCGGGCGACGGUUGUCCCGGUUUAAGCGUGUAGGCUGGUUUUCCAGGCAAAUCCGGAAAAUCAAGGCUGAGGCGUGAUGACGAGGCACUACGGUGCUGAAGCAACAAAUGCCCUGCUUCCAGGAAAAGCCUCUAAGCAUCAGGUAACAUCAAAUCGUACCCCAAACCGACACAGGUGGUCAGGUAGAGAAUACCAAGGCGCUUGAGAGAACUCGGGUGAAGGAACUAGGCAAAAUGGUGCCGUAACUUCGGGAGAAGGCACGCUGAUAUGUAGGUGAAGCGACUUGCUCGUGGAGCUGAAAUCAGUCGAAGAUACCAGCUGGCUGCAACUGUUUAUUAAAAACACAGCACUGUGCAAACACGAAAGUGGACGUAUACGGUGUGACGCCUGCCCGGUGCCGGAAGGUUAAUUGAUGGGGUUAGCGGUAACGCGAAGCUCUUGAUCGAAGCCCCGGUAAACGGCGGCCGUAACUAUAACGGUCCUAAGGUAGCGAAAUUCCUUGUCGGGUAAGUUCCGACCUGCACGAAUGGCGUAAUGAUGGCCAGGCUGUCUCCACCCGAGACUCAGUGAAAUUGAACUCGCUGUGAAGAUGCAGUGUACCCGCGGCAAGACGGAAAGACCCCGUGAACCUUUACUAUAGCUUGACACUGAACAUUGAGCCUUGAUGUGUAGGAUAGGUGGGAGGCUUUGAAGUGUGGACGCCAGUCUGCAUGGAGCCGACCUUGAAAUACCACCCUUUAAUGUUUGAUGUUCUAACGUUGGCCCGUUAUCCGGGUUGCGGACAGUGUCUGGUGGGUAGUUUGACUGGGGCGGUCUCCUCCUAAAGAGUAACGGAGGAGCACGAAGGUUGGCUAAUCCUGGUCGGACAUCAGGAGGUUAGUGCAAUGGCAUAAGCCAGCUUGACUGCGAGCGUGACGGCGCGAGCAGGUGCGAAAGCAGGUCAUAGUGAUCCGGUGGUUCUGAAUGGAAGGGCCAUCGCUCAACGGAUAAAAGGUACUCCGGGGAUAACAGGCUGAUACCGCCCAAGAGUUCAUAUCGACGGCGGUGUUUGGCACCUCGAUGUCGGCUCAUCACAUCCUGGGGCUGAAGUAGGUCCCAAGGGUAUGGCUGUUCGCCAUUUAAAGUGGUACGCGAGCUGGGUUUAGAACGUCGUGAGACAGUUCGGUCCCUAUCUGCCGUGGGCGCUGGAGAACUGAGGGGGGCUGCUCCUAGUACGAGAGGACCGGAGUGGACGCAUCACUGGUGUUCGGGUUGUCAUGCCAAUGGCACUGCCCGGUAGCUAAAUGCGGAAGAGAUAAGUGCUGAAAGCAUCUAAGCACGAAACUUGCC
rnacentral:rRNA from 1 species